rnacentral:rRNA from 1 species
AGCAGCCGCGGUAAUUCCAGCUCCAAUAGCGUAUAUUAAAGUUGUUGCAGUUAAAAAGCUCGUAGUUGAAUUUCGGGGUCAGCAGGUUGGUCGUGCCACUGGUAUGUACUGGCUUUGCUGAUUCCUCCUUCUUGUAGAACCGUAAUGCCAUUAAUUUGGUGUUGCGGGGAAACAGGACUGUUACUUUGAAAAAAUUAGAGUGUUUAAAGCAGGCUAACGCUUGAAUACAUUAGCAUGGAAUAAUGAAAUAGGACGAGCGAUCCUAUUUUGUUGGUUUCUAGGAUUGACGUAAUGAUUAAUAGGGAUAGUUGGGGGCAUUAGUAUUCAAUUGUCAGAGGUGAAAUUCUUGGAUUUAUUGAAGACUAACUACUGCGAAAGCAUUUGCCAAGGAUGUUUUCAUUAAUCAAGAACGAAAGUUAGGGGAUCGAAGACGAUCAGAUACCGUCGUAG